CGGAACGUAGCGCAGCCUGGUAGCGCACUUGCAUGGGGUGCAAGGGGUCGGAGGUUCAAAUCCUCUCGUUCCGACCA
rnacentral:tRNA from 1 species